rnacentral:rRNA from 1 species
UACGUAGGGGGCAAGCGUUGUUCGGAAUUACUGGGCGUAAAGGGCUCGUAGGCGGCCAACUAAGUCAGACGUGAAAUCCCUCGGCUUAACCGGGGAACUGCGUCUGAUACUGGAUGGCUUGAGUUUGGGAGAGGGAUGCGGAAUUCCAGGUGUAGCGGUGAAAUGCGUAGAUAUCUGGAGGAACACCGGUGGCGAAGGCGGCAUCCUGGACCAACACUGACGCUGAGGAGCGAAAGCCAGGGGAGCAAACGGG